ACGGGUGAGGAACACGUAGGAACUUGCCUUUUAGUGGGGGACAACCAAGGGAAACUUUGGCUAAUACCGCAUGAACUCGAAAGAGGAAAGCUGCCGCAAGGUGGCGCUAGAAGAGAGGCCUGCGUCCGAUUAGCUAGUUGGUGAGGUAAGAGCUCACCAAGGCGAUGAUCGGUAACUGGUCUGAGAGGACGACCAGUCACACUGGGACUGAGACACGGCCCAGACUCCUACGGGAGGCAGCAGUGGGGAAUAUUGGACAAUGGGGGCAACCCUGAUCCAGCGAUGCCGCGUGAGUGAAGAAGGCCUUCGGGUCGUAAAGCUCUUUAGGUUGGGAAGAAGGUUAGGCGGGGAUAAUCCGCGUAACUUGACGGUACCGACAGAAUAAGCACCGGCAAACUCUGUGCCAGCAGCCGCGGUAAUACAGAGGGUGCGAGCGUUAAUCGGAGUUACUGGGCGUAAAGGGCGCGUAGGCGGUGAUAUAGGUGUGAUGUGAAAGCCCCGGGCUUAACCUGGGAAGUGCAUCGCAAACGAUAUGACUGGAGUAGAGGAGAGGGUGGCGGAAUUUCCGGUGUAGCGG
rnacentral:rRNA from 1 species